rnacentral:rRNA from 1 species
UACAUGUGGGGCAAGCGUUGUUCGGAAUUACUGGGCAUAAAGUGUGCGUAGGUGGUUUGUUAAGUCAGGGGUGAAAUCCCGCGGCCCAACCGUGGAACUGCCUUUGAUACUGGCGAACUUGAGUGCGUGAGGGGUAGGGGGAACGAGCAGUGUAGCGGUGAAAUGCGUAGAUAUUGCUCGGAAGGCCAGAGCCGAAGGGGCCCUACUGGUGCGUAACUGACACUGAGGCACGAAAGCGUGGGGAGCAAACAAG